rnacentral:rRNA from 1 species
AUGGUGCAGGGGCUCACCAUAGCCGCGCGUGUCCACGGCGGCCACCGCCGUCGUUGCCUUCCUUUGCCCUCGAGUGGAGCGCCGCCGCCUGCGUGCAUCGGCCGGCCUGCACCUGAUCCAGAGGGGAGGUGGGUGCAUGGUGGAGCAGUAGAGGGUGGGUGGUGGCGGCUAGGGUUGAGAGGGAGGAGACGGGAGAGAGAGAGGAGAGGGGAGGAGGCGAUGGCGGAGGUGACGGGAAAGUGGAAAAGCGAGAGGAGGGGAGAUGGGGCGCUCGGGACUUAUCUCUCCCCGCGCUGCUACAGUAUGACGCAAAAAAGGAGACGUGGCAACGACCGCUAG